AGAUCAGAGGCCACACCAUCCUAGCAGUGGAGCAGGACCAGCUGGGACAGGGUCCUUCUGUGACACCUGCUGCAUCACCAGGCUGGGUGAACGGACACAAUUGCCAGAACUCACAGAAUAGAAGUAUCAGCACCGAAACCUCACAGGAAAAAUGGAUAUGAAGCUGUCAACUCAUUUUGAAAACUGCUGGCUCAGAUGACCUCAGCGAUAGGAAACCUCUAAAAGAUCAUGAAUCUAAUCAGCUUUGCUAUUCUAGCUUUAGUUGGAAGAAGAAGCUUCCAAGUUAAAGAUGGUAGACGAAAUACUGACCCAGUUGUGUCCUUUCCCUCCUGAGAAACCAUGGUGGCUAUCCACGAUGGAGAGAGAGCAGCGGAGACAAAAAGUGAUUUGAUGGCCUCGCAUCCGUGAGAAGGAGCAUCAUCUGUGGACCUUCCUGGGGGUGAGGGGCAGAGAAGUGAGGCAGGCAUCAGAAAACAGGAGGGUCGAUUAAAAUCUGUACAUUGACAGUCAACCCUCAUUAUCCUCCCUCACCGAUGCCAGCACCCCACCCCUCGGGUAACCAGUGAGUAGAACACCAACAACCAACAAGCAAGCAGCUGCCUUCCAGAGAGGAGAGGAGAAGGUUUUCUCCAGAGGAAGGAAACCAUCCAGACCAAAGGCAUCACUUACUAACAUGCGGAAACCCCAUCGACUCCCCGAAGCAAAACCUCUAGACGAGCCUUUCACUAAUGAUAACACACUCAUUCUCCUUCACGUGUUACUAUUAAAUGUGAACAGUGAAGAAUCACCACCUAGACGAGCCUUUCACUAAUGAUAACACACUCAUUCUCCUUCAUGUGUUACUAUUAAAUGUGAACAGUGAAGAAU
rnacentral:lncRNA from 1 species